UUGUGGGUGUCAAAAUACAACACUUUAAUUUGUCACAUUGAAAAUAAAAAUCAUUACAAAGGGCAACCAAUUGCAAAUCAUUGGCAAUUUUCUUAUCAUUUGAAAAACUAAAAUAAUCAAAUCAAUAAUACUAAUUUGGACCUACUGUUUACCUGGUGUGUAUGUACCAUCAUACCUCUCCCUUUCAGUCCAUUUUCUCUAACAAAGGAAUGUCUUCAGGGAGAUACCGGAAGCAUUUUAAAAUUGAGAAAAAGGACCUGGGAUAUUCAUAGAAAAUAUUUCAUAAACCACUUGAGAGUUUAGACUGUUUCAGAAAGCAGGAUCAAGGACUCAGCCAGCUAACAGUCCCACAAAAAUCUAACUUGAAAUUGUCAUGGUAUAAUUGACUUGACAACCAACAACAACCCAUAUUCAAGUUUAGCUUUCUAAAUAUAAAAUAAAGAUAUAUUUAACUACAUAUCAAAGUUAGCUGGCUAACUUAACAAUCCUGCUUUCUGGAACACCCCACUAGUUAGCAUGAAGAGUGACAAGUUACUCUGCAUAAACACACACUCAGAGUUCCACCGAAUAUACCCCAAUGGAAUGAGCCAACACUAUGGUAUCGCUGUACACUGUGGUAUUGUGUAUCUCUAGAAGAACUGUACACAGGGGAGAGUAAAAACUAAUUGUGGUGAAACUAACCCAAGAGCAGCUACUACCUGUAUAAUCCUACCAGCAAACUAGGAGCCAUGACAACUGACCGCUUGGAAAAUGAGAUCUGCAUAAAUUAAAACGGUGAGUAGGGGAAUAGGUUGACUUAACCAGAGUCAUAUAUACCUCUUAAGGUCACAUCCCAAAUGGAACCCUAUUCCCUAUAUUGUGCACUAUUUUCCACCCGAGCCCUACUGGAGCUGGUCAAAAGUAGUGCCCUACAUAGGGAAUGGGGUGCCAUUUGGAGCAUGGCCUAUAUAGGCCUCUGGACUGAACUAUGGCUACGCAAGACAGUCUCGGUGGACGCCAGGUCACUAGUGUGGGAGAUGUGCGGUGAGGUAAAGGUUAGAGGCUGCUUACCAGGCUGACUACAUUGUAGUUGGUUCACAUAUCAGCUAACCACAUGACAUAGCAAUAUGAUGCCUAACUGCAGUUGAUGACGUGGCACGCAGCUAUUGGUUGACGCAACGCAACGUCUGCAAUGUAGUCGGCCUGGAACGGGACCAUCAUCUUGGGCUGAAGACUGGCAGUGAUUGGUGAGAAACAGACGAGAGCCACCUCUAAAUCAGCUUCCUGUUCCAACGUGAGGUCUUCCGCCCCGGUGAGCCUGGGCUACUGAUUGGCUGCUUCACAAGCGUCUAUCCAAUCACUGUACACGUCCACAGGCUCUGACAGAUCUUAGAGUGUAAGGUAAGGACAUGUAACUUAUAUACACACUCAACCUAGAAGAUGUUAGCAACAGAUUGGAGUAAAUGUGACUGCAUGCAACUGUCUAGUCAUUGGUGUAUUUACAUUGUAUCCAUUUAUCAGAUGCUCUUAUCCAGAGCAACUUACAGUCUAACUGUGCUGUUAGCAUUCCUGAUGUUAAAAUACCUAGAAAACAAUAUCAUCAUAAUAGCCAAUCCCAUUGGAAUUAGGCAUUACAUCCUUAGGAAAUUACAAUUGCUGCAGCCUUAUUGAUUACGUAUCAACUAGCACGGCUACAUGCACACAAUAAUGUGAUUAUUGUGGAUAGUCAGAUUGAUAUAAUAGUUUGAUUAAAAACUGCAUAUAUGCCCACACGUCUUGUCUCAAGAAAACGUCAAACGUUUAAUACCAUCAAACACCAAGUUAGUCAUACCUCAUUUCAAAGUAGGCCAUUAUCCCUGUCAAUCCUGGAUGGUAAUUCUUCACGUUUUACUGGUGAAAUGUUCAGACUGCCUGUCAAUCAUUUGAUCUCAAUCAGUUUCAUGGGAAUAUGAAUUUAGAUCUUCUUGAAUGACUGUUUUGUGACCAAAUGAAAGCAGAUGGUGUUAAACUAUUAGCAUUUCUUGUAGGGUUAUUUUGUAUCAAAGCGUUGCCUGCGGCGUGCACGCCGUUGAGUCUCGGUAAAAGAAGAGGACUACUCAGCUUCAGAUAAGAAAUGACAGAAGUGUUUUUGGUGUAACAUUAAAGGCCUGGUAAAGCAGCUUAUAUUCCAUUAUAUUCGGAUCUGCUAUGUAAAAUAUGAAUUACACAUUGUGAUCUUGCGAGACAUUGAUUUAGCUUUGUUCUAACAUUGUGAGAAGUGAUAAUCUUCUAUUCGUAAUAAGUGAUGAGAAGGACUAUUAGUUGUAAACUACAUCUGGAGUUAUUUUGAGCGCCUUUCGAAUCUUGGUGCUGAAAGGACAGCAGCGGUCCCGUAUCAUUCUGGGUUUCACUGAGCAAUGGGGUCCGCAGAGUUAUGACCAUCGUGGCGGACACGCUGUGAAUGUGGAUCCUAGCUCUCGUUGGUGUCGUGGUAAAGGUCCAUGCGGUGGAUCAGUUUGUCUGCAUACGUACGUUUCUGUAAGCUAAGCAGUCAGUAGGUCGAGUUCAAGUGCAUUGUACAAGGCUGUUUUUGAGGAGAGCCGUUUCAGCAAACCCUGGUCGAGUUUUCUGUCUGUGGCUGUUCUUGUUACGUCGGAUUUGGCCCGUUCAGUGGUCACGCCUCCGACCGACGGGCCAAUGCACACACGCCUACAGUUCAUCCUUCGUGCCACCAGAGAGAAAUAAAAUACAGGAACACCACCAUUUAGGCUACCUACCUAUAGACUGCAUAUUGAUUUAGUUUGUCAUUCUAUCGUUUAUGGGAUUUGUGGUCAUUCUAAAUAAAUUCUAUUUAGGCCUAUCAGAAUUAAUUUGACUAU
rnacentral:lncRNA from 1 species